rnacentral:rRNA from 1 species
AUUGAACGCUGGCGGCAGGCCUAACACAUGCAAGUCGAACGGUAGCACAAAGGAGCUUGCUCCUUGGGUGGCGAGUGGCGGACGGGUGAGUAAUGUCUGGGAAACUGCCCGAUGGAGGGGGAUAACUACUGGAAACGGUAGCUAAUACCGCAUAACGUCGCAAGACCAAAGAGGGGGACCUUCGGGCCUCUUGCCAUCGGAUGUGCCCAGAUGGGAUUAGCUAGUAGGUGGGGUAACGGCUCACCUAGGCGACGAUCCCUAGCUGGUCUGAGAGGAUGACCAGCCAAACUGGAACUGAGACACGGUCCAGACUCCUACGGGAGGCAGCAGUGGGGAAUAUUGCACAAUGGGCGCAAGCCUGAUGCAGCCAUGCCGCGUGUAUGAAGAAGGCCUUCGGGUUGUAAAGUACUUUCAGCGAGGAGGAAGGCGUUGUGGUUAAUAACCGCAACGAUUGACGUUACUCGCAGAAGAAGCACCGGCUAACUCCGUGCCAGCCGCCGCCGUAAAAC